CCCUCCUCCCCAUCUCUUUCUUCAUCUUCCUUCCUCCCCAUCUCUCUCUCCCCCAUCUCCCCUCCUCCCCAUCUCUCCCUUCUGCCCAUCCUCCACCUCUUUCUUCCUUCCAAUUUGGCAUUUGGACCCCAGAAUCCACCAACUCCUAACCAGUUCUGUCCUCCUCCACUACAGAACCCCCUCCCCCACCAAAUUUGUCUCUUUUCACUCCACCUCUCUCUGUCCCUCUUCUCUCCAUUUUGUCAUCCCUACACUAAGUUCUCCUCUGUCUUGCUCAUUUGUAUGCCUUUCCAGGCAUUUUCCAGCAUUUCUCUCUGACGCUGCCCCCUUGCAAUUCCUCUCUGGUGCCCUGCCCUCCAGUCUCUCUCCCUUCCUAGUCCACAUGGGCCCCAGAAGGAAAUUCCCAACACCCAGUUCUGAUCCCGUCCCACCUCCCAUUCCACCCCUUUCUGCUGCUCCAUCUUAUGAAGAGAGAAGCUGGUGAAGCCCCUGGCAGUGUGGCACCAUCAACUAACCACUUCUCUCCUGUCUGUGUCCCAGUCCAUCUUCCCACCAGAUUGGGAGCCCCUGGAGAAGGUGGGGGGGGAGGGGCAGGAUCUGAAGCAUCUCCCACUCCCAGCAUCAAGAGUGCAGGGCCUGACACACAGGAGACCUUGGGAAAUAUUUGCUGAGCAAAUGAAGGGAAGCCCACUAAGCAUGGUCCUCAGUGUUCUUCAAAUCCAUCCCCGCCCGCCCCCCCCCCCCCCCCCCCCCACAGCCCCGGCCCAGCUCAACUGCCAUCCUCUCAUUAUCCCAGAGCAUCUGCCUCGUGUUCAGCCCUGUCCCACACCCCAGGGGCUCCUUCUAACACUCACAUCUGAUCCUGCUCUUCUGCUGCUCAGAAUUCUCCUGUAUCUCCUCGCUACCCUUAGAAUAAAGUCCAGACUCCUCAGCCUGGGACUGCAGCACCUUUCCACUCGCUUCUAGCUGCUUCUCUUCCUUACCUCCUGUCCCCUGCCCUUCAGCUCCCGGAACCGUGAGCACUGUCCCCAGUAAAGCCCGCUGUUUCACGCCCCCCAGGGCCUUUGCCCAGCUUGUCCCCCUGCCCCGUGAAAGCCUUCCUCACCCCCUUCAUCACCUGGCAGGCUCCUACUCAUCCUUCUAAAGCCCAGGCGGGGCAUGCCAUUCUCCAGGAAGUCUCCCCCGAAAUUACUGCCCACUCCUGGCAGCUGGUCACUCUGUCCUCUGCCUGAGGUGCCCAUCGUGGGCCCUGUUACAGUACCCAUCACCCUGCCUCGAUAUUGCGUUUCUCGAUGGCUCCUCCUUGAGAGCAGAGUAGGGUCUGUUUCCCUGUGUCACCUCGGGGGAUGCUGAUUCUAACACACUGCCUGGUGUGUUGGCAGAGGCGCAAAAAUGUCAACGAGUGCUUGGCUGAAUUAACGAGUGAAGCACGAAUCUCUGAGUCCCAGUGUUUCUCCAGAGCACCAGACGCCAUGCCUGCACUUCAGUACUUGUGUAAUUGUGUGCUUCCUCCCACCAGGGUGAGUUUCAAGGGCCAGUGCCCGUGUUUGAUGCUGAAUUUCAGCGUGUGUCUGCCUCUUGCUCUCCCUUCUGAGUGCCUGCCUCCCUUUGUACACCAUUCACGGUAGGGAGGCUCCUGCUUAAAGUCAUUCCGUGGCUUCCUGCUGCCCUUAGAAUAAAAUCUAAACUCUGGACUAAACUACAAGUCCCUGGGCAGUCUGGCCCUGUCUACAUCGCCAGUCUCAUCUCGCUCCAUCUACACCUGGCUCUCUACACUUUAGCUCUCUCUGGAAACUCUUCCUGCCCCAGGGCCUUUGCAUAUGCUGUUCUCUAGCUGAGACACAUCCCCCAGCUUCCCCUGGAUGGCUUUCUGUCAUCCUUUCAGUGUCAGCUAAAAUAACCCUUUCUUUCAAACUAGGUUAAGCCUCCCUGACGAAGCAUUUCGUAGCCCUCCGGAUUUUUCUUAUGUCCUAAUUGUAACUUACUGUUUGUGUACACAAUUCUUUGAUUAAUGUCUGUCUCAUGCAUAAGAUGUACACUCUGUGAGGACGUUGGGGACCCUGUCCGUCUUGCUCUCUUGUGUAGCUCAGCAUUCAGCACAUUGCUGAGCACUUAGGUACACAAAUAAAAUUGCUGGUAAUGAAUGAAUGAGUUCCUCUCUGUGCCUGUUGAUUUUCCCUGUCCAGCACCCCCGCCAACCCAGUACACAGCAGGUGCUUAAUAAACCCUUGUGGAAUAAUGAAUGAAAAAUGAAUGAAUGAAUGCCCACGUCCACCCCUUGUCCCCUUGCCUUUCUGCUUCCCUUCUCUUUACCUUGGUCUCUUUAGAUAAAGCGUCUAUAUAGUUUGUAGGUAUAACUAUAUAUUCGUGUGUUUUGGGCCCCUCUCCAGGAGUUGGGCUGGGCUGGGAGUCCCUCCCUCCCCAUCGCCCCGCCCCCACAUGCACACAGCAAAACAUUAAAAAGAAAACAUCUCGAAACUGCAAAAAACACCACAGCCCUCCCCCCUCCCCCCCAAUCCCACAAAAAAAUAAAACACGACGCUCCCUCACAACGGCCCCCUCCUUUCCCUUCCCCCUCCCUCGGGGUCCCUGAUUCGGAGGGUCGGGGGCGCCCCCCACGCCGGGGCGGGGAGGGAAAGGCCAAGCAGUCUCCAGCGCGCUCGCGGGGA
ensembl:lncRNA